UUUGAUUAAAACUCUGCGCCUGUAUCCAUUCCUGAGCUAACGUUAGCCCCUUGAGUACCACAUCGCUAGGGUUGGAUCUCUUAUCUUCAAAGAUCAGACGAUUUCGCGCUAUCCAGAUGGCCCAGCAUAUCCAACUCAGGAUUGGUGUAGAGAUACCAGAUGGGGGGAGACAAAUAGCCCUGCAAAAUUUGACCACUGCUGAUUCAAAAUCAUCAGUCACCGCUAUGUCUAUCUCUCUUAGUAGAGGGACUUGUUGCCAUACUGCUUUGGCGAAAGGGCAUAAAAAGAAGGCGUGCAUCGCCGUUUCCUUCUCACCGCAUCUUAGGCAGUUGACGUUUGCCAUCAUUCCUCUUCUCUCUGGAUCAUAGCGGGGUGUGUUGGCUACUGCAUUAUAGCCUGACUUCGUGGAGUAUACGCCAGAAGGGAGGGGGUGCCAGAUGUAGAUGUCUUCGGCCCCCGACAUACUUGGUUUCAGACUCUGAAUCUGCUCACUUAACUCUGAGACUGACAGGAAGCUCGAAACACGACAUCGUGAAGGACGGGAUGGCUGUGAGGACCGAUUGGAGCAUAGUGAGUUUGCCUGCCUUGGAGAGGAAGCGUGAAGACCAGCUAGCUGCACAUUGUCUUAUCCUGUCCACAAUAGAAGUAAAUAGGAUUUUCACUAGCGCGUUGCAGCUGGCUUGGGAGGAGUGGCAGAACAUCAUUGUGUCAUCAGCAAAAAGCAGAUGGUUGACACGGGGGCUUCCUCUUGAUACUCGAAUCCCUUUGAGAGUCUCAUUCCUUACUGCCAUCCUGCAUAAUCCGGAGAGGACUUCCCCACACAGAAUAAAGACAUACGGUGAAAGAGGAUCACCUUGUCUGAUACCCCGGGAAUAAGAGAUUUAUCCGGUGAUGGAUCAACGAUAGGAGUAAAGUGGAUGGGAGAAGUUGAUGAUAAGCCAUUCCUUAAAGUAUUCCAAAGCAUAUACAGUGAUGAAGCCAUUCAGUUGGAACACGCUGCCCUGCUUGUCUCGAAAUGGCAGGAAGCUAUCAGAGAUGCACAAUGGCACCCAUUCAAGCGUGUUGGCACUGGAGAGGAAAUGAAGGAAGUUGUGGAUGAUGAAGACGAGAAACUUCAGAAUCUGAAACUAGAGUGGGGAGAAGAUGUGCUGAACGCAGUAAAGGUAGCACUUGAGGAACUGAACAAGUUUAACCCAAGUGGUCGGUAUGAAUGUCCAGUGCUGUGGAAUUUUGAAUAUGGGAGAAAAGCCACACUCAAAGAAGGAAUUUCUCACAUGAUGGAACUCAUCAAACAUCUCAAAGGAACUUGAAAGGAAGCAGGGUGAACAAUAUCAAGGAUUCAAAAUAUUUUCUUAAAUCGUUUUUAAAUCGUUUUUAUUUCUUACUUAGUUGAUCUCUUUCUCUGUCCAUGGUUGAUGGAUACCCAACAAGAUUAGGCAAGAUAUUCAACAUUGUAAUUCAAAUUAAACCAUCUUAUUAAAGGUUUACUCAUCAUGCCAUGGAUGAUUUUUACAAUGUGAGAUAAGCUUGGUAUAAACUGAAAGUCAAUGGUUUCUUGAAAA